AUAUCUGUAUUUUAAUGGCACUGUUUUCUUCAGUACUGCUAUUUCUGGUAUUUAACUCCUGGGGAUGCAAAGGAUGUAAAAAUAUAAAGAAUGUAACCAGAGAUGCUCCAAAACUAUCAAGAGAACCAGAGAAUGAGGAUGAAGCUAUAUUUUCUGGUGUAUUCUAUGUUAACCAGCAUUAACACCAGCUCCCAUGCAGAAUGGUCCAUAGACCACAGUGAAUAUACCAUCUAUAAUGUGUGUAUAAUGAAAAAAAUUGAUUUUAAACUUAAGACCUUACAUUUAGAAAUGCUGUAGACAAGAUUAUGACCUAACAAUUUUAGGGUAUACUUAUGUAUAUUAGAACAUUAACUUUACACUUCAAACAAAGUUUUACUAAAAUAUUCAUGGAUCUAUUGGUUGAAUAUUUAAAUUGUACUUAUUUAAAUACACAUUUUGAAAAUAGCCACCUGAUUUGAAAUUGCAAUUUGAAACAAACUUAAGAAAAUGGGGAAUUUUAGCUGGAGUUUGAGCUAAAGUUUCAUGCAAGUUUAUGUUGUCUUGUUGUCUUCUAUAGUUUUAUGUAACAUGUAUGGUUGCUGUUUGGCAAUCUCAAAAUAAUCAUUGUUAUUUGUAUUAUUUGAAGUAGUACUGUAAAAAUAAUAAUAAUAGCAACAGUAAUACGCCUGCAUUGAAAUAAGUGUGAAAUAUGUGUGAAAUAUGUUGUUUAUACAG